rnacentral:rRNA from 1 species
GAUGAACGCUGGCGGCGUGCCUAAUACAUGCAAGUCGAGCGAACGGACGAGAAGCUUGCUUCUCUGAUGUUAGCGGCGGACGGGUGAGUAACACGUGGAUAACCUACCUAUAAGACUGGGAUAACUUCGGGAAACCGGAGCUAAUACCGGAUAAUAUUUUGAACCGCAUGGUUCAAAAGUGAAAGACGGUCUUGCUGUCACUUAUAGAUGGAUCCGCGCUGCAUUAGCUAGUUGGUAAGGUAACGGCUUACCAAGGCAAUGAUGCAUAGCCGACCUGAGAGGGUGAUCGGCCACACUGGAACUGAGACACGGUCCAGACUCCUACGGGGGGCAGCAGUAGGGAAUCUUCCGCAAUGGGCGAAAGCCUGACGGAGCAACGCCGCGUGAGUGAUGAAGGUCUUCGGAUCGUAAAACUCUGUUAUUAGGGAAGAACAUAUGUGUAAGUAACUGUGCACAUCUUGACGGUACCUAAUCAGAAAGCCACGGCUAACUACGUG